CCUGAUGAUCAUAGCGGACUGGAACCACCUGAUCCCAUUCCGAACUCAGAAGUGAAACAGUCCAGCGCCGAUGGUAGUGUGGAUUCCCAUGCAAGAGUAGGUCGUCGUCAGGC
rfam:Hahella chejuensis KCTC 2396, complete genome.